rnacentral:sRNA from 2 species
AGACGUUGCAAGUUCCCGAUAGGCUCUGAAUUAUUCAGAGAUUCCUUGUAACCGAAUAAAAAUUAGGGGGAAUAUUUAUAAUG